AUACGAACCGUACAAACGUUAUUCGGAAUUAUUGGGCUUAAAGGGUGCGUAGGCGGCGCAGUCAGUGAGGUUUGAAAUCCCUCGGCUCAACCGAGGAAUUGCGCUUCAUACUGCUGUGCUCGAGGGAGACAGGGGUAAGCGGAACUGAUGGUGGAGCGGUGAAAUGCGUUGAUAUUAUCAGGAACACCAGUGGCGAAAGCGGCUUACUGGGUCUCUUCUGACGCUGAGGCACGAAAGCUAGGGUAGCGAACGGGAUUAGAAACCCUGGUAGUCC
rnacentral:rRNA from 1 species